GCCGAGGUGGCGAAAUUGGUAGACGCGCAUGGUUCAGGUCCAUGUGGGGGAAACCCUGUGGAGGUUCAAGUCCUCUCCUCGGCACCA
rnacentral:tRNA from 1 species